rnacentral:lncRNA from 1 species
AAAGUUGUUAUUGGCAAUGACAAACAAAGUUUUUAGAAAUAAGGAAAAGUCUGUAAUCAAUUUCAAAAAUAAAAGAAAUAAGUAAGAAAUAAAGAGUGGAUGAAUUGUCUGGAAUGGUAAUUAGAUUGUUCACUGGAUUAUGCUAUUUGUUUUCCCUCAAUUGGAGAAGCCAAGGCCUUGUAAGUUUCUGGAAAUAGAAUAAAUAAAUUUGAAUUUAAGUCUCUUAGUCAAGAUGUAGUUCCUCUAAUUAUGAAAUAUGACGGUUUUCCAGUUACAGCAUUGGUAAUGUAUAACUUUCUAUUGGUUUUUCGAUUUUUUUGUAUUGGUGGCUAUUCAUCAGUAUUUUGAGAGCAAAAAUAUAUGGAGUUUAUCUAUGUGAUUCUGGAAGGGCUAAGAAAUUUUAUUUAUUUAUUUAUUUUUAAUGCAUUUUUCAGAUUCAAGGUUUACAAAACAGGAACUUCCUGCAUGCAAGCCUAUUCUUACACCUAAAUGGGUAAGUUUUUUCAUACUUCUAUUGCCUUUCAGUUUUUGAUUAGUCAUCAACAUUUAGAAAAUUUAUUUGACCAGUAUUUACUCCCUCUAAGCACUCUUUUUUGUGCUGGUGAUUUCCCAUCUGGGCGUUCUUCAAAUCUUCAAGAUUUUAGAGUGCAAUGUCACAGAUGAAGCACAUUGAUAACACCCCCAUCAACCCCAGCAAAGUUUGAGAUAGAGAAAUCCCCAUACAAAAGUUCUGCUGCUCCGAGUUCUACUUGGGACAAUCAGGUAAUUUUGUAUUCCAAUUCAGAGAUUUAUUUAGCCAUCUCAGCACUUGUGUUUGUUACCAUUGAGGUUCUAGUUCUACAAGUUUUACUUUUUAAUAAUGAACAUGAGUAAAUUUUGUUUCUAUAUUUCAGAUUUGUCCCAUUUGCCUUAGUAACCCAAAGGACUGGCAUUGGUUAGUUAUACAAUUUAUGCCAGCCAUAUGUAUCAAAUAUAAGGUUCCUGUAUGAUCAAGACUUCUACCAAAGAGUUUAAUUUGACCAAUUGCUAUUCCAAUGUUUUCUGUAAUGCCUUUUUAUGGUUACAUAAUCGCAGUAGUACACUUCUCUAGACUAACACAUUAUUAAAAAAUUAUAUUUAAUGAUGUUUUGCUGGAUGCACCAUCUUAGUUCAUUCCUUUGCUUUAUUUUGUUUUAUAAUAUUUUUCCAAGCAAGGUAGAGAU